GGAAAGAUGGCCGAGUGGUUGAAGGCGUAGCACUGGAAGGCUUUUUGUUUACCGAGGGUUCGAAUCCCUCUCUUUCCG
rnacentral:tRNA from 1 species